GACGAACGCUGGCGGCGUGCUUAACACAUGCAAGUCGAACGGAAAGGCCCUGCUUUUGUGGGGUGCUCGAGUGGCGAACGGGUGAGUAACACGUGAGUAACCUGCCUUUGACUUUGGGAUAACUUCAGGAAACUGGGGCUAAUACCGGAUAGGAGCUCCUGCUGCAUGGUGGGGGUUGGAAAGUUUCGGCGGUUGGGGAUGGACUCGCGGCUUAUCAGCUUGUUGGUGGGGUAGUGGCUUACCAAGGCUUUGACGGGUAGCCGGCCUGAGAGGGUGACCGGCCACAUUGGGACUGAGAUACGGCCCAGACUCCUACGGGAGGCAGCAGUGGGGAAUAUUGCACAAUGGGCGGAAGCCUGAUGCAGCAACGCCGCGUGCGGGAUGACGGCCUUCGGGUUGUAAACCGCUUUCGCCUGUGACGAAGCGUGAGUGACGGUAAUGGGUAAAGAAGCACCGGCUAACUACGU
rnacentral:rRNA from 1 species